AACUGGAGGAGAAGAUUCUCAGAACUUCAAAGAAGAGGGGUCACCACUUUGUUCACAAAAUUUGAGUUGCUCUCAUCCCGCAGUUUUUACCAUCCAAAACCCCUAUUUUCACACACCAAAUAAAAAAAUCCAUCAUAAAAAAAGUUAAAUAGAAACACAUCUCACAAUUUAAAAAAAAAAAAAGCAACUUCAAGAAAACAUAAUAGAUACCCACAUAAAAAUUCUCUCAAAUCAAAACUAUUUUUAGUGAAGAAACUGACCUCAGUGUACAAAGAUGUCAAGGAAUUGAUAUAUUGUCUCUGCAACUGAUUCCUAGUACUAUUACACCGGAAGCAUAGUUGACACCCUGCAGAAUUACAGGUCCCCUAGUGGUUGGAGCCAAAUAUGGAGGAGCAAAAUCUUUAAAACCCGCUUGUUGUCCUGGUGUAACAAAAAAUAAUAAACAAACAUAUAAUGAUUUUUGUUGUUAUUGCUAAACAGACGUAUAACAGAUUUUGUCAGAGUUUGUCACAUAAACUCAACUACUCAAGUAUUGUUCUGCCAUUAGCAUAAAUUUUUUCUGCUGAACAAAUGCCCAACCAAAUAAAGACUGUCAAAACUUAAAGCAAAACACCAACAAUAACUCUUUUUAAUGAUAGAUUAGCCAUUACAAUCAAUGUGUACGAGAAAAAACAAUUAUGGGUAUGCUUUACCAAUACAUAAUCUACAUGAAAAAACUAAGUAAUGAAAAUUUUCCCCUUCCUCACAAUUGAAGGAUGAGGAAGAGGAGGAAUCUCUACAAUUUAACAGAGUUCAACAAAUGUUCUACUGAAGAUUUAAUAUUGUUAAAUGAAAAAUCAAAGUUUUAGAUACCAAGUAAAAAAUAUUUUCAAACAUUGAUCAAAGACUUACUACUUCACAGACAUCUGUUAAAUAUAUUAUUAAAUAUAUCACAUAAAAUUCUUCUAUAAAGGAAAUUAUAUUCGCACAUCAACAACAUUUCUUUAAUCCAUAGCAACCACCUUAAGCACAUCAUAAACUCUACAACAACUAUUUACGAAAAACAAAAUCCCACUAAACAACUUAAAUGCAACUAUUCGAAGCAAAGUGUAUAUAUAUAAGUGAGUUUAAAAAUGGAAAAUUAACCUUAGAUAGUUGAAGCUCAAAGUAGUGAAGUUGUGAACCAUUUUGAUCAAAUCGGAGUGGCAGGAAUCCAGCUUCGGAGCAGAACCGAGCCACAACAGGAAGAGACGGAGCCUCAGGGGAUAGCUCAGUAAUGGUAGCUACAAUGAACUCCUGCUGUUUCUAUUUUUGGUCUCGAGGAACCUCUCAAAUAUAAUAAAAUGAAACUAAAAAACUUCAUAUAAUUCAAAUUGAGAACAAUAACAAUCAUUACUGCAACAUAGAAUUGGUAAAAAAUCCAAAAAAAAGCUAAAGAACCCUAACAGAGUAAUGUUCAAGUGGAGGAGCAGAUUCUCAGAACUUCAAAGAAGAGGGUCACCACUUCGUUCAUAAAAUUUAGGUUGCUCUCGUACCGCAGUAUCUAAAGCUGCGAAAAUUCCAAUACCCCUAUUUUCACACCCAAAUAAAAAAAAUCCAUCAUAAAAAAAGUUAAAUAGAAACACAUCUCACAAUUUUGAAAAAAACAACUUUAAGAAAACAUCACAAAUACCCACAUAAAAAUUCUCUCAAAUCAGAACUAUUUUUAUUGAAAAAUUUGACCUUAUUAUGCAGAGAAAUUAAUGCCAUGGAAUGUAUGCAAAGAAAUUAACAGGUAAUAAUCAUCAAACAACACAAAUUGCAAUGAAAAAAGGAAAAAUCGCAAAAAAAUCAUAUCAAGCUCUUCAUUCAGGACUUCUAUCAAGCACUUACUGAGCAAAAGCUUCUCAGUUCUUCAGCUCAGCACAAUUACAAAUUAUGUGGUAUAUUAGAUUGAUUAAAUUGAUGAGAAGAAAAGUGGGUACCUUUACAAAAAUUGGGGAUUGGAGAAGUUUCUCAAUUCGAAACCAACGAUUUGGAUCAACUAGGUUUGAACGGAUAAACAAGAUCUCUCUUAACACCGCAAAUGAGUUGGUCGAUUGAAUAGAGAGUCGGCAUGAGGGAGGAAUAUAGAUUUGAGAGAACUAAAGGGAGGAGAAGGAACCUGAAGAGGAUGGACAGACGGAUUCAACGAAUUCGAAAGACAAAACUUUAAAGCUAUCGAUUGGGAAAGCCAACCGAGAAAAAUGAAUCGUUUAAUUGACAUUGAACCAAACUCGGUAAAUAACUCACAAAAUUGAACGAAGUUGACUCAAAUUAAUUAAGAGUGGAUUCUAAAUUGGGAU
rnacentral:lncRNA from 1 species